GACGAACGCUGGCGGCGUGCUUAACACAUGCAAGUCGAACGGAAAGGCCCUGCUUUUGUGGGGUGCUCGAGUGGCGAACGGGUGAGUAACACGUGAGUAACCUGCCCUUGACUUUGGGAUAACUUCAGGAAACUGGGGCUAAUACCGGAUAGGAGCUCCUGCUGCAUGGUGGGGGUUGGAAAGUUUCGGCGGUUGGGGAUGGACUCGCGGCUUAUCGGCUUGUUGGUGGGGUAGUGGCUUACCAAGGCUUUGACGGGUAGCCGGCCUGAGAGGGUGACCGGCCACAUUGGGACUGAGAUACGGCCCAGACUCCUACGGGAGGCAGCAGUGGGGAAUAUUGCACAAUGGGCGGAAGCCUGAUGCAGCAACGCCGCGUGCGGGAUGACGGCCUUCGGGUUGUAAACCGCAUUCGCCUGUGACGAAGCGUGAGUGACGGUAAUGGGUAAAGAAGCACCGGCUAACUACGUG
rnacentral:rRNA from 1 species